rnacentral:rRNA from 1 species
GAUGAACGCUCGCUACAGGCUUAACACAUGCAAGUCGAGGGGAAACGGCAUCGAAAGCUUGCUUUUGAUGGGCGUCGACCGGCGCACGGGUGAGUAACGCGUAUCCAACCUGCCCAUCACUUGGGAAUAACCUUGCGAAAGUAAGACUAAUGCCCAAUGACAUCCCACGAAGGCAUCCGAAUGGGAUUAAAGAUUUAUCGGUGAUGGAUGGGGAUGCGUCUGAUUAGCUUGUUGGCGGGGUGACGGCCCACCAAGGCAACGAUCAGUAGGGGUUCUGAGAGGAAGGUCCCCCACAUUGGAACUGAGACACGGUCCAAACUCCUACGGGAGGCAGCAGUGAGGAAGAUUGGUCAAUGGGCGAGAGCCUGAACCAGCCAAGUAGCGUGCAGGAUGACGGCCCUAUGGGUUGUAAACUGCUUUUAGAAGGGAAUAAAGUGGGUCACGUGUGACUUUUUGCAUGUACCUUAUGAAUAAGGACCGGCUAAUUCCGUG